rnacentral:rRNA from 1 species
UUGUCGUGGAGAAAGGCGGUAGGCAGAUCCCUUAGGCAAAUCCGGGGGGUUAAUGCUGAGAACCGAGACCAGAGUGCUUGCACUUGAAGUCACCGAUGCCAUGCUUCCAGGAAAAGCCUCUAAGCUUCAGAUGAUAAGAAAUCGUACCCGAAACCGACACAGGUGGUCAGGUCGAGAAGACCAAGGCGCUUGAGAGAACUCUGCUGAAGGAACUAGGCAAAAUAGCACCGUAACUUCGGGAGAAGGUGCGCUGUUGGUUGUUAAGGAUUUACUCUGUAAGCAACCGGCAGCCUCAGUAACCAGGCCGCUGCAACUGUUUAUUAAAAACACAGCACUCUGCAAACACGAAAGUGGACGUAUAGGGUGUGACGCCUGCCCGGUGCCGGAAGGUUAAUUGAUGGGGUUAGCGCAAGCGAAGCUCUUGAUCGAAGCCCCGGUAAACGGCGGCCGUAACGAUAACGGUCCUAAGGUAGCGAAAUUCCUUGUCGGGUAAGUUCCGACCUGCACGAAUGGCGUAAUGAUGGCGGCACUGUCUCCAGCAGAGACUCAGUGAAAUCGAAAUCGCGGUGAAGAUGCCGUGUACCCGCGGCUAGACGGAAAGACCCCGUGAACCUUUACUGCAGCUUUGCACUGGACUUUGAUCUUGCUUGUGUAGGAUAGGUGGGAGGCUUUGAAGCGUGGACGCUAGUUCGCGUGGAGCCAUCCUUGAAAUACCACCCUGGCAAUAUUGAGGUUCUAACCAUGUCCCGUUAUCCGGGAUUGGGACAGUGUAUGGUGGGUAGUUUGACUGGGGCGGUCUCCUCCUAAAGAGUAACGGAGGAGUACGAAGGUGCGCUCAGACCGGUCGGAAAUCGGUCGUAGAGUAUAAAGGCAAAAGCGCGCUUAACUGCGAGACAGACAAGUCGAGCAGGUACGAAAGUAGGUCUUAGUGAUCCGGUGGUUCUGUAUGGAAGGGCCAUCGCUCAACGGAUAAAAGGUACUCUGGGGAUAACAGGCUGAUACCGCCCAAGAGUUCAUAUCGACGGCGGUGUUUGGCACCUCGAUGUCGGCUCAUCUCAUCCUGGGGCUGAAGCAGGUCCCAAGGGUAUGGCUGUUCGCCAUUUAAAGAGGUACGCGAGCUGGGUUUAGAACGUCGUGAGACAGUUCGGUCCCUAUCUACCGUGGGCGUUGGAGACUUGAAAGGAUCUGCUUCUAGUACGAGAGGACCGAAGUGGACGCACCUCUGGUGUUCCGGUUGUCACGCCAGUGGCAUUGCCGGGUAGCUACGUGCGGAAGGGAUAACUGCUGAAAGCAUCUAAGCAGGAAGCCCACCUUAAGAUUAGGUCUCCCUGAGGGUUCGACCCUCCUAAAGUGCCGUUCGAGACCAG